CAGGUGCAGGAUCUUCUGUAGACGUUGAAGGCACGGGUUCUACUGGCCUCUCCACCUUGGUGAAGUACUUGGAGAUGUCCAUCUGGAAGGAAAUCUUCCUCUUUCUUAUCUCAUGACACU